GUGGGGAAUAUUGGGCAAUGGGGGAAACCCUGACCCAGCGACGCCGCGUGAGGGAAGAAGGCCUUAGGGUCGUAAACCUCUGUUGUGUGGGAAGAAGAGCGUGACGGUACCACACGAGGAAGUCCCGGCUAACUACGUGCCAGCAGCCGCGGUAAUACGUAGGGGACGAGCGUUGUCCGGAUUUACUGGGCGUAAAGGGCGCGUAGGCGGUCAUUUAAGUCAGCUGUGAAAUGGUUUGGCUUAACCGGAUCAUGCGGUUGAAACUGGAUGACUGGAGUGCUGGAGAGGCAAGUGGAAUUCCCAGUGUAGCGGUGAAAUGCGUAGAUAUUGGGAAGAACACCGGUGGCGAAGGCGACUUGCUGGCCAGCAACUGACGCUGAGGCACGAAAGCCAGGGGAGCAAACGGGAUUAGAAACCCGGGUAGUCC
rnacentral:rRNA from 1 species